UUUCAGUAGGGAGGAAGGUAGUGUAGUUAACACCUGCAUUAUUUGACGUUACCUACAGAAGAAGCACCGGCUAACUCCGUGCCAGCAGCCGCGGUAAUACGGAGGGUGCGAGCGUUAAUCGGAAUUACUGGGCGUAAAGCGCAUGCAGGCGGCCUGUUAAGUCAGAUGUGAAAGACCCGGGGCGUUAACCUCGGAAUUGCAUUUGAAACUGGCAGGCUAGAGUCUUGUAGAGGGGGGUAGGAAUUUCAGGUGUAGCGGUGAAAUGCGUAGAGAUCUGAAGGAAUACCAGUGGCGAAGGCGGCCCCCUCGGACAAAGACUGACGCUCAGAUGCGAAAGCGUGGGGAGCAAACAGGAUUAGAUACCCUGGUAG
rnacentral:rRNA from 1 species